AGCCGCGGUAAUUCCAGCUCCAAUAGCGUAUAUUAAAGUUGUUGCAGUUAAAAAGCUCGUAGUUGAAUUUCGGGAUUGACACAUCGGUCGUGCCUUAAGGGGUAUGAACUGGUGUAGUCAAUUUCUCACCUUCUGGAGAACCGCAAUGCCCUUAAUUGGGUGUCGCGGGGAACCAGGACCUUUACUUUGAAAAAAUUAGAGUGUUUAAAGCAGGCAUUUUGCUUGAAUACAUUAGCAUGGAAUAAUAAAAUAGGACGGAUGAUUCUAUUUUGUUGGUUUCUAGGACCACCGUAAUGAUUAAUAGGGAUAGUUGGGGGAAUUAGUAUUCAAUUGUCAGAGGUGAAAUUCUUGGAUUUAUUGAAGACUAACUACUGCGAAAGCAUUUGCCAAGGAUGUUUUCAUUAAUCAAGAACGAAAGUUAGGGGAUCGAAGACGAUCAGAUACCGUCGUAGUCUUAACCAUAAACUAUGCCGACUAGGAAUCAGACGAUGUUAAUUUUUUAAUGACUCGUUUGGCACCUUAUG
rnacentral:misc_RNA from 1 species